GACGAACGCUGGCGGCGUGCCUAAUACAUGCAAGUCGAACGAGAGCGACCGGUGCUUGCACUGGUCAAUCUAGUGGCGAACGGGUGAGUAACACGUGGGUAACCUGCCCAUCAGAGGGGGAUAACAUCCGGAAACGGAUGCUAAAACCGCAUAGGUCUUCGAACCGCAUGGUUUGAAGAGGAAAAGAGGCGCAAGCUUCUGCUGAUGGAUGGACCCGCGGUGCAUUAGCUAGUUGGUGAGGUAACGGCUCACCAAGGCCGUGAUGCAUAGCCGACCUGAGAGGGUGAUCGGCCACAUUGGGACUGAGACACGGCCCAGACUCCUACGGGAGGCAGCAGUAGGGAAUUUUCCGCAAUGGACGCAAGUCUGACGGAGCAACGCCGCGUGAGUGAAGAAGGUUUUCGGAUCGUAAAACUCUGUUGUUAGAGAAGAACAAGUGCUAGAGUAACUGUUAGCGCCUUGACGGUAUCUAACCAGAAAGCCACGGCUAACUACGUG
rnacentral:rRNA from 1 species